AUUGUUUCCUCGGCCGCUCCUCCCGCCAGGCCGGCGUCACUGGCCGGGCGCCCGGGCCGGCGGCGGGUUAUUUAUAGCGCAGGCUGCGCGCGUCACGGAGCCCGGCCCGGCUGACGGGGCCGCUGACGCGCUUGGCCGCGGGGCCGAGGGCGCGGGGUGCGCGCGGGCGGCGACAAUGGGCCGGAGCGCGCGCCUCCCCGGCCUCCGCGGGCCGCUCUCGGGCCCGGGGCCUCGGCUCCGCGCCUCCACGGGGGUGGCCGGCUCAGCCUCGGCCUCGACCCCGGGGCUCAGCUCGGCGGUCCGCGCUCCCUGCCGCGCACCCGGACUGCAGGAAGAGCUGGAGCCGGGCUGCUCGACCACUCCGCGCCCGGGGACGCGGCGACCUGGGGCCCGGAGCGCUGGGCAGACAUGCAAAAUUGACAAAGUUUAACAAAGCUGAUCUUGGAAAUUGCCAUUCUACCUACUAUCUGGUGAGGUGUGGAGAGGUGGAAAAUACGACUUCCGGUGUUAGGAUGUCGGUAUCAACACACCGAAGUCAUCGUUUAGAUCCUACCGAGUGGCUUAGUAAUAAAUACUUCAUAUUAGAUUUUAAAAUCUGGCGACUAAUAAAAUGUAACUGCCUUUAAGCUUGGAUUUUAAACAUGAUCAUCUUUUUACCAUUCCUUGUAUUUGUUGAUUCACAAACGCAGAUCACAAUAAAAGACAAGCAACAACUUAAAGAAUAUUAAUUAAAGUAUUAUUCGCACUUUAAUUUCACAUUUACUUUUACGUAUGAAGGGAUAUCAUAAAGCUAGAAAUAUAACAUGUAGGGUUUUUUUUUUCAUUCAGCAAUCUGUAAGAAAGUUCACAUGAAACGAUAGACUUGACUCCCAAAGUACGUAAAAUAGACACGAACAGUCUAAAAAUGUAUUUACUUUUAAUUUUCUACAUUUCAGAAAGUGAUAACAUUUCAAAAGUUUAUAUAUCAUGUCCUUUCAGAAUCAUUUUGAAAGGCCAAGAUGACACCCUCAUCCCCUGGACACACAUACCUUAUAAUGGCUGAUGGUUUGUGAAGCAGUGUUUGGGUUAGUUCAGACAUUCUGUCAUUAUAGCUAACGCCUUUUGCCUAUUUAUAUAGCAAGGAAUCUUCUACAGAAUAACUUAGGCUCUGUCUACCUUAUGGUGAGAUUCUUUGCUGGGGCUGUUUCCCUGCAGUCUUUUACUAGCUGAGGUUUGGUUUGUUCUGUGGCACCAGUACUCUAUGAAUUUAAAGCCAGACCAGGAGGGAGCCUGUCCAUCACGACUCCAUCUUCACGACCUGUGAAUUGACAGUGACCGUGUCCCUUAACCAGUCACACAGAACUUGCCUUAUAAAGCUGUUAUUGUCACGGGCAGAUACUGCAACCUUUUGUCAAGCCCCGUGAUUAUUAAAGUGUUCCUCCUUCAAAUCCAGGCCAAAAGGCCUCCUGGGCUUCGUUUCAGAGUUCAAGCAGAGUCUCAAGCAGCGCUCUUUGCUCUCCCUCUCCAGUUGUAUCAUUACGUGUAUCCACCGAUAAUCCAGGCACCCUUAUAGAUAUGAACUAUGCAUGUUUCUGUCUGCUUAUAUGACAACAUGCCUAAGAUACAUAUGGUACAGCAUUAUUUCAACGUAAAGAGUCAAUAGAUGUAUACUGUUACUCUAAACAAUGUAUCCGAUCACCAAGGGCAACACCAGAACUGCCAUUGCCCUUGUCCACUAGGAAAUAACUUUCCUUUUUGUCUUUGAGUGGUCAAACUUAAACUUCUCUUUUCCGGGUUGCCCUGCCAUGUCCUUAGUUGGAGAAUUUGUUUAGACAGGGAAACUUUUGAAAACUGUGCAUGGGUUGGCCAAGAAAAUACUUCUUUGUUUCCGAUGGCCAUGGAUAAAAGACAACUAGGUAUAUUCCCCACACUAAGUAAUUUUAUUUCCACUUUUUUCCCCCCACAGAUACAUUUGUGAUCUUUUAAGUUACACUGACUUAAUGGUUUUCUCAAGGCAGCAUGUAACCAGUUGUGAAUAGGUAUUAGGAUUCUAAUAAAACUCUUCCCCUAAGUGGGGUUGUGAGUCAUCAGGAAAGAGUGUGGACCCCACUGCACUUGAGUCUGCUUUUCAAAUUCAAAACAACCCAUGUUGUUGCAUUAGAAGCUCCUUCCUGUCUUUUACGAGCAUUUCAUUAAAAAAGAAAGUGGCAGUCUGUAAUAUUACCCCAGUCAAGCAGGAAGUGGUCUCUCCUCAUCAAUAUGCAGCUUUGUCUUUAUAUGGGUUGGUAGGAGCUCCAUACAAAUACCAUAUAAGAAAUUGACUUGGGUUGCCCUUACUUUGACUGAAGAUUGACAGGAGCUCUCCCUUUAAUUAACCUUGUUCUUUUUCAUGUUCUGUAUUCAGAUAUUGAAAUACAGUAUUUUUAUACAUUUAUCAGAUUGUGUUUGCAUUUAUUUAAUUUAUGUUUCUUUUUUUAAAGCGUGUAGUCUUGAAUGUUUGUUCUCCCUUUUUUUCACAUCAUUACUCUGGUACUGCUUGAUGUAACUUGAUUAGCUCCCUCCCCAGUCAUGAUUGGUAAUUAAAAUAGGCAUUAAAAUUAGUCACUUAGCAAUUUUGCUGUUCAAUUGGCAAUUAAAUUACUUAA
ensembl:lncRNA